GUUUCUAGAGCUCGGAGGCUGCUGGUAGGGGGGCACCACUUUCAGAUAAAAACAUAGACCUGAAUGGCAUCAUCCAGUAUCCAAGGAAACCAUGCAGUUUUGAACAUCUGGAGGCCUGAUUUAUUGGAGAUUGCAAAUGUACAGUGUAACAUAGCUGUGGAGAGAUCUCACAUGAGAUGGCAAAGAGGUCAAGACAAAAAUUCUGCAUUUGGGAAAAGAAUAACACAUGGACUUCCUCCUACAGGAUUAUAGGACUGUGUAUGUCCUACACACACAUUAUAUGUCCUACACGCACAGUGAUGAGGAGUGACAAAAUGAAGACUCCAGAAUCCUCUUUAUCAGAUCCUGAAUGUGCACUUUCUGAAGUGAAGUCCACUAUGUGCUGGGCACACAGAGAAUAGAGCAUGAAACAAAAGCAACAUGACCCUGCCCUCACCAAGACUACAGGGAGUGAUGGAGCAUACAACUUUGUUUCAGAAUGCAAUUCAGAUCUUCCCUUUCGCUUGGCUUCUUAAAACUUCUUUUGAGGAUGGUAAAAUUUCGUGUUAUAUUAAAUUUCAUCCUGUAACUGAUACUCUGGGAUGAUGUUGGCCAAUAACUAGCAAGACUUUAAAUAAUCAACUAGUUUAGGCAUUGCUUAGCACGCUCCAGCUGACUUCACAAGUAAAACCAUGUGAAGAAAGAAGGUUUUCAGGUAACACAGAUGGAGGUGAUGAUCUUUCUCAUUUUGUGGAAAAUAUUAAUUUCUCAUUUUUUAUUCACUGACAAUUAGUAAAAUUCCUUACUCUACCUAAUAUGUAGACUUCUGAACUAUGUAAGUAAAACUUUAUAGUAACUGAAAAGUUUGGGUAUUGUAUUUUCUUGGAGAAAAUGUUAGCUUCCCUCUGUUACUUUUAAAUGUUAAACUUUUAAUGAAUUUCAUCAAUGUAUAAUAAUGGGCAUAAUGAUCCACUCUGAAAUAUUUACUGUCAUUUUGAAUUUAUUCUUGAGUCAUCACAAACGUGUACAUCUCUUAUACCUUCAUGGAUGUUAUUGGUGAGAUGAUCUCUUGUUGUCAACACCUUGAGGAUAGGGACUUAUUCAGGCUCGCCUCUAGCAAGUGCUAAGUGCCUGGGAACACAUAAUAAAUAUUUCAUGAUAGGAGGAUGUUAGAAUAAGAGGAAAAACCAGAUUCUUACCCAAAUAAAUAAUAUUUAUUAUAUUCUUAUUUGUAUAUCAUUGUAACUGUAAAAAAAAGUUGCCUAGGGAUUUGUUUUAUUUGUACAAAUACUUGUUUUUUGUAUGUAAGAGUGCCAAAUAUAAAACUGCAUAACAUUUAGAAAUUACAGAAAUGUGUAUAUAUUUAUAUAGAGACAAGAAAAAUAAAAUUUUCAUUCUAUCAUAUAGAAAUAACUACAUUUGAAGUUAUUUCCCUCCUAUAUGUAAACUUUUACAUAGUUAAGUUUAUACAAUAUAUUUGCUUUCAAA
rnacentral:lncRNA from 10 species